CCACCACACUCGGAGUCUCCGUUUCGGCCUCUGCAGGGUCUCAGCUGCUAAAGAAUCUUUAACCUUAAGGGGGCCUCAGGGAGAGACGAAUUG
rnacentral:miRNA from 1 species